rnacentral:rRNA from 1 species
GACGAACGCUGGCGGCGUGCUUAACACAUGCAAGUCGAACGGAAAGGCCCUGCUUGUUUGGGGUUCUCGAGUGGCGAACGGGUGAGUAACACGUGAGUAACCUGCCCUUGACUUUGGGAUAACUUCAGGAAACGGGGGCUAAUACCGUAUAGGAGCUCCUGCUGCGUGGUGGGGGUUGGAAAGUUUCGGCGGUUGGGGAUGGACUCGCGGCUUAUCAGCUUGUUGGUGGGGUAGUGGCUUACCCAGGCUUUGACGGGUAGCCGGCCUGAGAGGGUGACCGGCCACAAUGGGACUGCGAUACGGCCCAGACUCCUACGGGAGGCAGCAGGGGGGAAUAUUGCACAAUGGGCGGAAGCCUGAUGAAGCAACGCCGCGUGCGGGAUGACGGCCUUCGGGUUGUAAACCGCUUUAGCUUGUGACGAAGCGUGAGUGACGGUAAUGGGUAAAGAAGCACCGGCUAACUACGUG